CCCUUAGAUGUUCUGGGCCGCACGCGCGCUACACUGAUGCAUUCAACGAGUUUCUUCCUGGUCCGAGAGGAAUGGGUAACCUUUUGAAAGUGCAUCGUGAUAGGGAUAGACUAUUGCAAUUAUUGGUCUUCAACGAGGAAUUCCUAGUAGACGUAGUUCAUCAGACUGCAUCGAUUACGUCCCUGCCCUUUGUACACACCGCCCGUCGCUCCUACCGAUUGAAUGCUCAGGUGAGCCAUUCGGACUUUCAUCAUGCUAGUUUCCAGUUUUGAUGAAGGAAAGUCUUGCGAACCUUAUCAUUUAGAGGAAGGAGAAGUCGUAACA
rnacentral:rRNA from 1 species